ACUGCUCAGUAACACGUGGAUAAUCUGCCCUCAGGUGAGGAAUAAUCCCGGGAAACUGGGGCUAAUGCCUCAUAGGAGACGGGUGCUGGAAUGCUCUGUCUCCGAAAGGUCCGCCGCCUGAGGAUGAGUCUGCGUCCGAUUAGGUUGUUGUUGGGGUAACGGCCCAACAAGCCUUUGAUCGGUACGGGUUGUGGGAGCAAGAGCCCGGAGAUGGAUUCUGAGACAUGAAUCCAGGCCCUACGGGGCGCAGCAGGCGCGAAAACUUUACAAUGCGAGCAAUCGUGAUAAGGAAACCCUGAGUGCCUGUCAAUGCAGGCUGUUCUGGUGUCCAACACACACCAGGAGAAAGGGCGGGGCAAGACCGGUGCCAGCCGCCGCGGUAAUACCGGCUGCUCGAGUGAUAGCCACUUUUACUGGGCUAAAAGCGUUCGUAGCUUGGUCGUUAAGUCUCUGGGGAAAUCUUUUGGCUCAACCAAAAGGCGUCUCAGGGAAACUGACGAUCUUGGAACCGGGAGAGGUAAGACGUACUUCGGGGGUAGGAGUGAAAUCUUGUAAUCCCCGAGGGACGACCGAUGGCGAAGGCAUCUUACCAGAACGGCUUCGACAGUGAGGGACGAAAGCUGGGGGAGCAAACCGGAUUAGAUACCCGGGUAGUCCCAGCCGUAAACGAUGUGCGUUAGGUGUGUCAGUGACCACGAGUCGCUGAGGUGCCGAAGGGAAACCGUGAAACGCACCGCCUGGGAAGUACGGUCGCAAGGCUGAUACUUAAAGGAAUUGGCGGGGGAGCAC
rnacentral:rRNA from 1 species